rnacentral:snRNA from 1 species
AUACUUACCUGGCAGGGGAGACACCAUGAUCAGAAGGCGGUUCAACCAGGGCGAGGCUUGUCCAUUGCACUCCGGCCAUGCUGACCCCUGUGAAUUCCCCAAAUGCGGGAAUCUCGACUGCAUAAUUUACGGUAGUGGGAGACUGCGUUCGCGCUCUCCCU